UACGUAGGGUCCGAGCGUUGUCCGGAAUUACUGGGCGUAAAGAGCUCGUAGGUGGUUUGUCGCGUUGUUCGUGAAAACUCACAGCUCAACUGUGGGCGUGCGGGCGAUACGGGCAGACUUGGAGUACUGCAGGGGAGACUGGAAUUCCUGGUGUAGCGGUGGAAUGCGCAGAUAUCAGGAGGAACACCGGUGGCGAAGGCGGGUCUCUGGGCAGUAACUGACGCUGAGAAGCGAAAGCGUGGGGGAGCGAACAGG
rnacentral:rRNA from 1 species